GGCUUUUAAAAUCUUGGUUUCUCUAGGGUUGUUCAAAGGAAACGUUUUUCUUUUUCUUCUUUUAGCGGCUAUGGAGGAAGUGAGAUAAAGCUCUGCUUGGGUGGCUCGUAAUUCUUCUCACGUCACCAUUGAUUCUUCAGGGAUUGAGAAAGAAGUGGAGAAAAUGAAAGAGUCGAUUCCCAAAGUGAAAAGGGAUUACGAAGGGAUUCAUUAUUUUGACAAUGGGCCCCUCACUGUACAAUACCUUUUUGUUUUGGAUGCUUUGAAUUUCUGUUUUUGGCCUGAUAAGGAUUUAAAUUAUGAUCAUUUGGCCAAGGGAUUAAAGGAUACUUUGCUGAAUUGUUAGAAGUCAAACUCUUGGAAUUGUGUACAAGUUCAACGUGGCAAAUGAAGAUAGAUUCACAAGUAAACAAAACAAAGUGGAAAUGCUUGGCAGUACACUAAACCACACAUGCAUAUGUCGGCAAAGAUUUUUCUUUAAUUGUUUGAAUUCACACGGCAACAUGUUAAGCAAGAAUUAGGGAGAGAAGUUGAGAAGCAUCCAAAGGUCCUCAAAUAAGUCGGUUAUACAACCUAUAUAUAUGUGUGCUUAGCCUUUAGUUGGUGUGAAGUAGUGAGCGUGAAUAAAAAAGUGAGUGAGCGUAAAUACGAUUGAGGAGUGAAAAAAUAAAGAGAUUUGAGAGAUAUAUUGUGAAGCUUAGCAAAGCUUUAAAUAUAUUGAUAAGGAUUUAAAUUAUGAUCAUUUGGCCAAGGGAUUAAAGGAUGCUUUGCUGAAUGACAUCUCUGCUUUGGAUGCCGAUCGUCUGCAAAAAUACACUGGUCCUCAACUGGGCGAGCUAUUGAAAUGGCCUCGACCAUUUCCUUUAGAGGAGGAACGGGUUCGUUUGUUGCAUGAGGUGUAGUAUAUUUUACUAAUCGCUGCAGGUUUUUGUCUUGUUUUAGUAUUCGAAUUCCAUAGAUAGUAAGGAUGGUAUUGCUUUGUUAACAGGCUUAUUCUACCCUGCAAUAAGUUGUUCGAUUUCAUUAAUUUUCAUUAUAAAAGUAUUCAUAAUUUUCU